UACAGAGGUCUCAAGCGUUGUUCGGAUUCAUUGGGCGUAAAGGGUGCGUAGGUGGCGUGGUAAGUCGGGUGUGAAAUUUCGGAGCUUAACUCCGAAACUGCAUUCGAUACUGCUGUGCUUGAGUACUGGAGAGGAGACUGGAAUUUACGGUGUAGCAGUGAAAUGCGUAGAUAUCGUAAGGAAGACCGGUGGCGAAAGCUAGUCUCUGGACAGUUACUGACACUGAGGCACGAAGGCCAGGGGAGCAAACGGG
rnacentral:rRNA from 1 species